CGGACGGGCUGGGGCAGAUUCUGGGGGUCUCCCUCAUGCCCAGGAUCCCGGGACUGCAGCCCGCUCCUUUUUGCAGCUCCCAACAGCAGUCUUUCCUGCCCAAGUGGAGGGGGCUGCACCCGAUGAACUUGUGAGGUCCCUUUCAGCCCCUAGCAUCUGUGGAUCCCGCUGCUGCAGGCGAGGCCUCUUCUGUUGCUGGGGGAUGGGAUCCAUUGCUAACUUCCACCUUGCUGUGAAGAAGCAGGGUUUGCAGCCAAGGCUCAGGGACUCGGGAGGCCUGGGUCAGAUUCCAAGCUGGGCCACAAACUUGUGCGACGCUGAGCCGGCCCAUCUUCAAAGCAGGAAAUCCCACUCUUCUUCCAUCCUUUGCCUGUUUAGAUUGUCCUUUCCUGGGGCCAUGAACUGUUCCUUCGUUAUGCAAAGGCCCAGGAUAAUCCACUGGGAAAUGAAGACAGGUUCACCAUCCACCAUAAGACUGGGAAAUCACAGCAGAACAAGUCCUGGACUUCAAGAAGGCAGAUUUUGGCAAACUCAACAGGCUAGCUGGAUAGGCCCUCUGCAAACAGCAACUGGGUGACUUGGGAGUUCAGGAAUGGUGGGACUUCCUUAAGGAGGUAUUUUUCACAGCCCAAACACAGGCCAUCCCCAAGUGGGCAUAAAACAGGAAAGGAGCCAAUAGACUCACUUGGCUCAACAGGAAUAUUGGAGAGCUUUUGAAAAAGAAAAAAGAAGCAUAUAAACAAUGGAAGAAUGACUUGGCAACCAGAGAGCAAUACACCUGUAUUGCCAGGGCCUGCAGAUACGAGACAAGGAAAGCCAAGGCAGGCAUGAAGAUCAAGCUGGCAACUGGAAUAAAAAACAACAAAAAGUCCUUCUACCGAUACAUAGGGCACGUUCAGAUGAGCCCACAUGUGCUUCUUGCAGCAUCUCAAACCCCCUUGUGACGCUGCAAAUGGCACGUGCAGGAAUGAGAAAAUGUUCCCCAUGCUGCAGGUUUGUAGUGCAGGGCAAAAUUAGACCCCUGGAUAUCCAGGGGUAAAAAAACCCUGCAGAAAAAAAAGGGCAGGGCAUGGUCCCAGACUGUCCUGAGGCAACCAGAGGCUGGGUCCUCCAUAGAGACCCUCUGGCUGCCAGAGCGUCUCUCUGGUUAGCCUUUGCCCUGAUGCUGGCAUGCUGCCUGCCCUCAUGGGCAGGCAGCAUGCUUCAGCACCAGGGAGCUGGAUCCAGGCUCCACUGCAGGUAAGUAAGAGGUUGGGAGGGGGGAGGAGACCAUGGUGGGAGGGACCCCUGCCAGCCCCACCUGCUCACCCAGCUCCCCCAAUCCCUGCCCCACCUGGCACCCCCCGCCUGCCCCCUGAGCCCCGCAAUUCCUGCCUCCACCACCCCAGCAUUUGAGCUGCCAUCUGGUUCACUGGAGCUUUGCCCGCACAGUGCAGGGGAGGGUGACAGCCCCAGUGACUCCAGCCCAGGCCCUACUGCCCCCUGCUAACCUGUGCUGCUCAGUGGGGCUCUGCCAGGAGGCCCCAGAGCCCCCCUGCUCGGUCAGUAGAGGCUUUUUUUUUCAAAGUGCUAGAGGCUGGGGUGGGAG